rnacentral:rRNA from 1 species
UACGGAGGGUCCGGGCGUUAUCCGGAUUUAUUGGGUUUAAAGGGAGCGCAGGCGGCCUUUUAAGCGUGUUGUGAAAACCAGUCGCUCAACGACUGGCUUGCAGCGCGAACUGAAUGGCUUGAGUACGGACGAGGCAGGCGGAAUUCGUGGUGUAGCGGUGAAAUGCUUAGAUAUCACGAGGAACCCCGGUGGCGUAGGCAGCCUGCCGGGCCGUUACUGACGCUAAAGCGCGAAAGUGCGGGGAGCGAACAGG